rnacentral:rRNA from 1 species
GCAUAUCAAUAAGCGGAGGAAAAGAAACCAACAGGGAUUGCUCUAGUAGCGGCGAGUGAAGCAGCAAUAGCUCAAAUUUGAAAUCUGGCGUCUUCGACGUCCGAGUUGUGAUUUGUAGAGGAUGCUUCUGAGUAACCACCGACCUAAGUUCCUUGGAACAGGACGUCAUAGAGGGUGAGAAUCCCGUAUGCGGUCGGAAAGGUGCUCUAUACGUAGCUCCUUCGACGAGUCGAGUUGUUUGGGAAUGCAGCUCUAAAUGGGAGGUAAAUUUCUUCUAAAGCUAAAUAUUGGCCAGAGACCGAUAGCGCACAAGUAGAGUGAUCGAAAGAUGAAAAGCACUUUGGAAGGAGAGUUAAAAAGCACGUGAAAUUGUUAAAAGGGAAGCGCUUGCAGCCAGACUUGCCUAUAGUUGCUCAUCCGGGUUUUUACCCGGUGCACUCUUCUACGGGCAGGCCAGCAUCAGUUUGGGCGGUUGGAUAAAGGUCUCUGUCAUGUACCUCCUUUCGGGGAGAUCUUAUAGGGGAGACGACAUGCAACCAGCCUGGACUGAGGUCCGCGCAUCUGCUAGGAUGCUGGCGUAAUGGUUGUAAGCGGCCCGUCUUGAAACACGGACCA